rnacentral:rRNA from 1 species
CCCGUCCCUCCGGCCCGCCGCCCCUCGGGCCGCGGCCGCACGGCCCGGCCCGGCGGGCGGAGGACACAUCCCGGCGCGGCGCGCGCCAAGGAACGACCGUCGGAACAGGGCUCCGCCCCCGCCCGCGCGGCGGGGCGGCGCCUCGCUCUACUCGAAACUGUACGACUCUCGGCAACGGAUAUCUCGGCUCUCGCAUCGAUGAAGAACGUAGCGAAAUGCGAUACUUGGUGUGAAUUGCAGAAUCCCGCGAACCAUCGAGUCUUUGAACGCAAGUUGCGCCCGAGGCCACCCGGCCGAGGGCACGCCUGCCUGGGCGUCACGCAUCGCGUCGCUCCGCGCCCCACGGGCGCCGGACGCGGAGAUUGGCCCCCCGCGCGCGAGCGCGGCGGGCCCAAGCGCGGGCCGCCGGCGGGGACGGGCACGGCGAGUGGUGGACGGAAGCGCGGACUCCGCGCGCGCGAGCCGGACGCCGUGGCCCCCGGCCCCCAGCGGCACAGGGCCCUUCGGAACCCCACAGGGCGCGCGAGCCCUCCCCCCGGGACGGGCGAGCCGCCUCGCACCGCGACCCCAGGUCAGGCGGGGCCACCCGCCGAGUUUAAGCAUAUCAAUAAGCGGAGGAGAAGAAACUUACGAGGAUUCCCC